CAGCAGCCAUGGUAAUACGGAGGGAGCUAGCGUUGUUCGGAAUUACUGGGCGUAAAGUGCGCGUAGGCGGUUACUCAAGUCAGAGGUGAAAGCCCGGGGCUCAACCCCGGAACUGCCUUUGAAACUAGGUAACUAGAAUCUUGGAGAGGUCAGUGGAAUUCCGUGUGUAGAGGUGAAAUUCGUAGAUAUUCGGAAGAACACCAGUGGCGAAGGCGACUGACUGGACAAGUAUUGACGCUGAGGUGCGAAAGCGUGGGGAGCAAACAGGAUUAGAUACCCCAGUAGUCCCUGUCUCUUAUAC
rnacentral:rRNA from 1 species